AAAUAAGGAGAAUUCUUUCAUAUGGAAAGAGCUAGUACAAUCACAUAUUUGAAAGGAGAAACAAUAGGUACUGAACCGGAGGGAAAGGGCGAGGGUGAGUGUGCCAGCACCGGCCUGGUGAAUCCACGAUUCCAUUUCCCAUCCAAGGUAAGUUUCCCGAAAUAACGUAUAAACAAGCUGCACAUUACACCUCUAGCCAUCGUCUGCCCUUUCAAAUAUCUGGUCUACAUGGAAAGACAAAGAGGAAAGGCCAAAACAUAAACAAAAGGAAACAAAAACAAAACACAACCCUCUCAGGAACCAAACAAAAACCCCCAAAUCCUUUUUUACUACACAAGGCAUGAGGUCAAAAGCUUGAGUACAGUGUCCCCUUCAGACCAUGGGAGAAAGGUGUCCACACAGAGCCUUAGCAGGAAUUUCCACUCUGAGGCUUCAGAACACGCUGAAGAUGGGGCUCUGGGGGUGCCACUACCAUCCUGGAGGCCACCAACUGGGGUGGAGACAGUGAAGAGCAGGUCUCACAUGCCCAAAGACCACCAGCCAAAUAUACAUUGGUGGCCCUGGUGGAGCAUGGCUGGGCGACAGUGUCCAUCCCCAACACUGAGCCACUCCUGUCCUGGAUGACUUCCUGCUUAGGUCCAUCACGUUUCAGAAGAGAGCUGGCUUUCUGGAAGCCUACGUUUCCCAUUCAUCACAGAACACGACAGAGUGCACACACCCUGGUAUCCUUGGUCUUCAAAGGCCAUUUCCAGCAGACCCUCUAACCCAGGCUUGCUCUGCAGGAAGUGAAAAGGGACAAAUGAAGAUUUGAGGGGCAGCCUGCAGCUACUUGGCAGAGGGGAGCCAAAUGGCAAGGGAGAAGGCUCCACCAGAGCUGCCAUGCUGCCGCAGCAGGCCAGGCCACAGCAUGGCCAUGCACCUGUGCGUGCUCAGCUUCCAGAAGGCAUCACUGACCAUCCCGAAGGCAGAUACAGAAGAUAGGAGGACAACAGCACGGCUGGAGAGCACUGAUGUCAACGUUUAACAAGGUACCCCAGUGUCCCUAGAAGUGGCUGGAAGGACCACAGCUUUGGAACUGAACUGAUUUUCUUGAAUGUGAAAUAAAGUCAUCUUUUGUUUUCCCCCUUAAGGAACCUAGAGCCAGAGUGUCUAUGAAUCCCAAGUUUGAAAACAAUACGAAUGUUUAAAAAAAAAAAAAAAAGCUGUGGGGAGAAGCCAACAGUUAAGAAAACCAAACCAAAUGCAGCUGGCAUUGAAGUCCCCAGUGGGUGGAUGAGCAUUUGAGAUGCACACCCACACUCUGGACUUGAUCCCACUCUAGUGGACGGUGGACAAUACCGCAAGGCCACUGGUUGCUGAGCAACGGG
rnacentral:sRNA from 1 species